AUCCUUUCUGUCCGAAGAGGGCGAUUUGGGAUUGUACUGGGUGUACGGAGAGUAAGGGGAGAGGUUUGAGUUCCGGGGCUCUCCCCUUCAUGUUGGCCGCUGCUCCUGAAGUCGUUGGUUCGCGUGUCCGAGUUCCUGCUGGCAAAUGGUGACGGCGAGCUUGCGGUAACCCGCUGCGGGAUGAAGAAAACUCCAAAGAAGCUGGCAUGAAGAGGUUCCCAGUGACCUAAGCUUGGACAGUUUGAGCAUCAGAACAUACGGUUAUUACUACAGUGGACCAAUAAACAGAAAUCCACAUGAUGAUGAUGAUGGUGACAAUGCCACCAAAAGGUCGUUGAUCACUUUGCUGGACAUCAACACAUUAUUUUGCAGAUUUAUAAGGGAAGAAGUUUAACAAAAAAAAAAAAAAAAAAAAAGAAAUAAGAAACCUUACCUACACCAGGGCUGUUAAAGGAGCUAGAAAGAGGGAUUCUGGGGGAGUUUUCUCAUCUUUCUAGGUGUGGGGAUAUGAAGCUGUGGUUGUCCAUUUCUGUGCCAAGUUAGACAACUCAUGAACAGAAGGCAGUCCUUGUACUACAGGUAAUAAGUGCAGGCAGCAGCCUGCUAUUCACAGAGUGGACUCCACUCCUCUACUUAUGUGUAGUUUACAUCCAAGUUCACACUAUGUGUCUGCCCUGUCGUGUCCAGAAAGUGCUCAUUGGGUUUCUAAUGCAAAUGAUGAAAACACAGGAAUCAGAUAUUUGUGCAAGUGGAAAUUGCUUUGUUUUCAUUUGUAACUGAAUUAAUUAUCAGACACUUGCGUUCAUUACUGUAACUACAAUGGAACCCCAGCUCUUGUAGUUUGAUAAAGAUCCACGUGUGAUUUUGAUGUCUGAUAUAGGAAUUGACCACAGAGCCAGAGGGCCAGAGUCCAGAUUUUCACUCUUUAAGAUACUGCUUUGAGGCUGAUGAAGGUAAAUGCUGUCAGAUGGAUGGAGAUGUGCCUCUUUUGUUAGCCCCACAUAUUUGUCUUGAGCUUUCAUGAGAAUGAGUUCAACUUGCUCCCUCUCUUCUAAGUGCCUUCAGUGCAUGGGCAACACAUUGACCAAGCAAUUUCAGCAGACACUCAGUGCAUGAAUAGGAGGGCAUCAAACCCAGAAAGAGGAGGCCAUCAUUGAUGCAGCACCACAAAAGACGGGUAUUAAGACUAAAGGAGCUAAGCCUCCAAGUUGGAGGGCUCAUCCAUGCCCAGCACAAGGACUGAAAGGUGGCCUACCCCAAGGAACUCAGUGUGAAAUUGCAAAAGGCUUUAAAACUUCUAGAAAUUACCCAGAGGAUUCAGAAUCAGAAUGGCUUUGGAGUUCUCAACAGCAAUCCUAGAAACUGAGGUCAUCAAAAUCCUGAGAAUGGCAGCUCAACAUGGAACAAUACCCCCACCAUCUCACUAUGAGAAUUGAAAACAUCUUCAGACAGAGGUCUGAGAGGCUUAGCUGCCAUGCAUGAUGUAGCUGGAACUCCUACAGGAUGCAUUUUAGCAAAAUGAAGGAAGCUGAGACAACCAAAGCCUAUAGUCAAGAAUCAAGACCCAACACAGCAAAGCCACUGGUAAAAGAGAAUCCCAGGAAGAGGGAGCAGGGAGCUGCAGCAGGGCUGCCAAGCAUGAGCCUAAAAAGCAGCCACCGUGGGCACUAACCGUGCAGAUUGGAGAAGGAGGUCCUGUGCUUGGUGAAGAGGCCUCUGAAGGGAGCAUCAGGGAACAAAGAUAAAUGCAACACCUGGCUUCCUGGUGUACGUAAUCCUUCACUUGAGAGUUUUCAGGUGCUUAUUAAUCAUCUUGUAAAAUCUAAUACAGGAGCUGAGAUUGUGUCAUAGUGUGUUAAGCUGCCACCUGAAAUGCUGGCAUCCCAUAUGGACACGAGUUUGAGGCCCAGCUGUUCUGCUUCUGAUCCAGCUCCCAGCUGGUGUGCCUGGGAAAGUGGCGGAGGAUAUCCCAAGUGCUUCAGCCCGUGCAACUACAUGGUUCUGGGCUCCUGACACAUCCCCAGCAGUUGGAGCCAUAGGGGUAAUGAUCUAGUGAAUGGAGGGUCUUUCUCUGUCUUUCCAUCUUUUCCUGUAACUCUGCUUUCAAAUAAACAGAUCUUUUUAAAGAAUCUAAAACUUGGAAAAACACAUCCAGACCAGAUUCCAGGUUCUGAUUUACAAAGUGAUUGGACAUAGUACUUUGUUGUCACCACAACCUUGCACUAACAAAACAUCAGUGGAGUCACCUGGGCCUUCUUAGAAAUGGGGAUUGCCCUAAGCUGACUGAGCUGGAGUUGAAUGAGUAAACAGCAGGCAUUUUAAGGCUUUAGAAGCUUUGCUGGGAGCAGGGAUCCUCAAAGUGUGGUCCCCAGGCUAGCAACACCCAAUGGGUCUUGUGUGUAAUGAGAGCACAGCAGAGGCAGAAAGAGGAUCACAUGGCGAACUCAGAAGCAGGGCAGGAGCAUUCUGGUCAUCUGCCACCUGGUGGCUUCACCAUGGGACUCCACCCUAACUGAAAUCCAACCCAAUCACAUUCUAACACUGUAGCCUCAGACACAAUAACUUGAUUAAGUUCCAUCGUUAAUCUUUUAAUCUGUGAUUCUGGAGAUCAAUGCCUUAACACAUGGACCCCUAGGGUCCCCUAAACUAUGAUCCAUCCAUAGCAGCAUCUCAUGAAUUUUAAGAUCAGUUGGUCAAUUUUUACAAAAAUAAGAAACAAACAAAUCCCACAUGGAUUUUCAUUGUAAUUGAAUAGGAUCUGUGCAUUUAUUUAGGGCUUUCUUGAUCCUAUUGAGCCUCUGAAUACAUGACAUGGAAUAUCUCUUCUUUCCUGCACAGUACCCUUAAUUUCUCUCAACCAGCUUUUAACAUUUUCAGUGUGUAAGUCCUGCUCUUCCCGUGGGGAAAUGUAUUGCUAAGUAUGCUGUGCCUUUCAGAGACCUUGUGGUGGGAAUUGUUCUCUCCAGUUCACUCGCACAUUGAUCAUGACCCAUGCAGAGAAGUGGAAUUAGUUUCAUCUAUUGAUUUUCUAUCCUGUGACCUUGCAGAACUCAUUUACUAGCUUAUGUGAGCUUUUGUUGAUGACUCCUUAGGAUAUUCUAUGUAGAGCAUUGUGUUUUCUGUAAAUAAAGAUAAUUUUCAUUCUUCCUAUCUAAUAUGUUACUUUGUUCCUUUUUUCUUUUCAGUUCUUUCUUUUUGUGUUUCCAACUUUUGUGCUGGAGCUUGAGGUAUUUGUCAUUGUUGUUUAGUUGGAUUUGCUUUUUGGCCACAUUUUUAAAAAUAUUUGGAGAUGCAUAUACAUUUACAAGAAGUUUUCUCCAUGGACAUAAGAUGUUGUGUUUGUAAUGAAAUUUCCCUAUGCAUCUUUAGUAGCAGUUUUUUGUCAUCAAGUCUAUUUUGCCUGAUAUUAAUAUAGCUCCUGCAGCUUUCAUGAUUAGUUUGCAUGGUCUCUUUUUUUCAAUCAUUUUACUUCUUUCUUUUUUAAAAAUAUUUUUCAUCAUUUUACUUUCAACAUAUUUGUGACUAU